GAGAGGGGUGAGAGAGGGGUGAGAGAGGGGUGAGAGAGGUAGAUAGGGACAGAGAGGGGUGAGAGAGGGUUGAGAGAGGGGUGAGAGAGGUAGAUAGGGACAGAGAGGGGUGAGAUAGGGGUGAGAGAGGGGUGAGAGAGGUAGAUAGGGACAGAGAGGGGUGAGAGAGGGGUGAGAGAGGUAGAUAGGGACAGAGAGGGGUGAGAGAGGGGUGAGAGAGGUAGAUAGGGACAGAGAGGGGUGAGAGAGGGGUGAGAGAGGUAGAUAGGGACAGAGAGGGGUGAGAGAGGGGUGAGAGAGGUAGAUAGGGACAGAGAGGGGUGAGAGAGGGGUGAGAGAGGUAGAUAGGGACAGAGAGGGGUGAGAGAGGGGUGAGAGAGGUAGAUAGGGACAGAGAGGGGUGAGAGAGGGGUGAGAGAGGUAGAUAGGGACAGAGAGGGGUGAGAGAGGGGUGAGAGAGGUAGAUAGGGACAGAGAGGGGUGAGAGAGGGGUGAGAGAGGUAGAUAGGGACAAAGAGGGGUGAGAGAGGGGUGAGAGAGGUAGAUAGGGACAAAGAGGGGUGAGAGAGGGGUGAGAGAGGUAGAUAGGGACAGAGAGGGGUGAGAGAGGUAGAUAGGGACAGAGAGGGGUGAGAGAGGUAGAUAGGGACAGAGAGGGGUGAGAGAGGUGUGAGAAAGGACACGGGAGAGGCAGGAAGUGGUGAGAAAUGGGUAGAGGAAAGUCAAGAACAGUACGUAAAGGGCAGAGAGGGAACAAACCUAAAAUAGCCCACUGGAAGACUGAUCAUAAACUAUACUGAACAAAAAUAUAAACGCAGCAUGUAAAGUU